rnacentral:rRNA from 1 species
CCUACGUGCGGCAGCAGUGGGGGAUAUUGCACAAUGGGGGAAACCCUGAUGCAGCGACGCCGCGUGGGUGAAGAAGCGCUUCGGCGCGUAAAGCCCUGUCAGCAGGGAAGAAAAUGACGGUUCCUGAACAACAAGCCCCGGCUAACUACGUUCCAGCCGCCGCGGUAAUACGUAGGGGGCAAGCGUUAUCCGGAUUUACGGGGUGUAACGGGGGCGCAGACGGCGAUGCAAGCCAGGAGUGAAAGCCCGGGGCCCAACCCCGGGACUGCUCUUGGAACUGCGUGGCUAGAGUGCAGGAGGGGCAGGCGGAAUUCCUGGUGUAGCGGUGAAAUGCGUAGAUAUCAGGAGGAACACCGGUGGCGAAGGCGGCCUGCUGGACUGCAACUGACGUUGAGGCCCGAAAGCGUGGGGAGCAAACAGGAUUAGAUACCCGAGUAGUC